GCUCCAGCCUCCUCGCCUCGGCUCCUCCUAUCCCGUCCCGUCCCGGCGUCCCGCACCCGCAGCCUCCAGUCCCACAUCCCGGCGACGGCCGACGGCGACCGGCGCGCCGCCUCCUCGCCUCGACUCCUCCGCUCACGGCUCACCUCCUCCGCGUCCGCGUCCGCGCCUCCGCCUGACCGCCUCCCUGGCUCCCUGCCUCCCUGGUGCCUUGCCGGCUUGCCACUGGCACCGCCUCCUCGCCUCGACUCCUCCGCUCCCCACUCCUUGACUCCUCCCGUCCCACCUUCCUGGAUCUGGAUCUACAUCUAGAUCCUCCUGAUCCUUAGAUCUAGAUCCUCCUGAUCCUCUUCUUGUUCUCCUGAUCUUAUUCCCGUCGUCCUCUCCAGCUCCGGGCUGAGCCGCUGAGGCGUCGCAGGUAACUGUCUUCUUCUCCUGCUACGGGCUUCGGCAUCGUUUCCGUCGCCCCAUCGGGUGCCGCGCGCCGUUGAGUGACGGAGUGGUUGAGGCCUGACACCUGAGGGACGCCCCGGCUGCCGCCUGCCACAGGAGGUCGUCGUGAUGGACGAGAACUACACCAUCAACGACGACCUAAGGGCCUGUGGCCUGCCAGGCAACGAUGAGGACGAUGUGGCUGCCGGAGCCGUGCCACUCGUUGGUAGCUCUGCUGCUCUCGUCAAUGCGGAUGCUGCCGGUGCUGGAGGUACUGUCCAUCUUCUACCCCAUCUUCUACCCCAACUACAUCAACAGGCACCAGUGUUCGCAAGGGGAAGCGGCGAUCUGCUGCUUGGAAUGACUUUGAUGAGUUGUUCCAGGAAGGCGCCAACGGGAAGAAGGUAAGGUACGCUGCCAAGUGCCGUCAUUGUUCUCACAUUCUUACUGGCCGGUCUUGUGUUGGUACUGGCCAUUUGCUCCGGCACCAGAAGAUGUGCUUGGCUAAACAAAACCAUUCUUCUCUUGUUCAGUCGCAACUACAAUUCCAUUCUGAUGGCUCAAUUAUUAAUUGGGAAUACAAGCCUGAUCUUGCUCGCAAAGAAUUAUACCGGUUGAUUGCUAGACUUGAUCUACCCCUAGGCUUUGGUGAGACAGAGGUAUUUGUGGAGUACAUCCAGCGUGCUCAUAACCCUCGUUUUGCUAAAGUUUCUAGACAGACCACUUCUAGAGAUCUUGCCAAGUUCUUUGCCGAGCGUCGUGUUUCUCUUAUUGAUACUUUGAAGUCUCAUAUUUCUUCUGUUUGUCUUACUUCUGAUAUUUGGUCAGGGAAUGCCAAGGAGGACUACCUUAGUGUUGUUGUACAUUUUGUUUCUGCUGAUUGGGAAUUAGAGAAGAGAGUCAUUGCUCUUAGAUUGAUUGAUUGCUCCCAUUCCGGUGUUAACAUUGCUGAGUGUAUUGAAUAAGUAGUUUCUGAGUUUGGUUUACAGGAUAAAAUUUUCUCUAUCACACUUGACAAUACUUUUGCUAAUACUUCUGCCAUGUCCACACUUAUUCCCAAAUUGGUUGGUUAUCUAGGUCCAGAUUCUGAACCUCUUGAUUCUGAUUCUAAUUCUGAUUCUGAUAAAGCACUUGUUGGUCUUUUGCAUCGAUGUUGUGCAUGUCAUAUUAUCAAUCUCAUAGUCAAGUCUGGUUUGAAGAGGAUCAAGGCUUAUCUUGAGGCUUUUAGGACUGUAAUCUCUUUUUUGAACUCUUCUAAUCAACGCAUUGCAGCUUUCCAUAACUUCUGCAUUGUCAAGGGGGUACGCCUUCGUAAGUUUGGUUUAGAUAUGGAUGUGAGAUGGAAUUCUACAUAUCUCAUGCUCAAACAUCUACUACCAUAUAAGACUGUCUUUUCUGUCUUUAUUUCUGCUCAUUAUGUGCACAAUGGCCAACCACUUCUAACUGAAAGUCAUUGGGUAAUUGUUGAGAAAAUUUUGCUGUUCCUUGAAAUGUUUUAUGAUUCCACUGUUACUUUAUCUGGUGUUUACUAUGCAACAAGUCCUUUGAUGUUGCAUCAUAUUAUUGAGAUUGCUGGCCAUUUGCAUGGCCAAGAUUCUGAUCCAUUGCUGAGAAAUAUUGUUGUUUCCAUGAAGCUUAAGUUUCUCAAGUAUUGGCAGAACAUACCUCUGUUGUAUUCCUUUGCAUUCAUUUUGGAUCCUAAAGCCAAGGUGAGAGGUUUUCAUAAUGUUCUCCAACUUCUUUCUCAGACAGUUGGUGUUGAUUACUCUCUUCUUAUUUCACUGAGGUAAGAACUGAAUUACAUAAGUUGUUUAACAAGUAUAAAAAUAAGUUUGGUGCAGUUCGAUCGCAAAGGCCCGUUCAACCUUCAGCUGCUACUGGUAAGAAAAGAACAGCAUGGGGUAAGAUCUUUGGUGGUCCUGGUUCAUGUGGUUCUCCUGUUCUUUCAUCUACACCUCCUAUAUCUCCUGCUUCUGAGCUGUCAUCCUACUUGGACAGUGAUACUAUUACUUGCUAUGAUGAUGACUUCAACAUACUUAGUUGGUGGCAUGAGCACAAGCUAUCCUAUCCUAUUUUAUUCAUACUUGCUAAAGAUGUUAUGUCUGUUCCAGUUUCCACUGUUUCUUCGGAAUCUUAUUUUAGUCUAACUGGUAGGGUGAUUGAGGAGCGGCGCCGACGGUUGUUGCCAGAAACGGGGGAGAUGCUGACCUGCCUUAAGGAUUGGGAGUUGGGAGAUGCAAGGACCCAACAUGAUGUUGAGAAGGAGGUCAAUGAACUGGAGGAAACUUACAAAAGCCCCUACCCAGACAUGGAUGAAGGCCAAGCUAGUUAGCCUACCCCAGGAGCAAGCUGAACUGUUGGAGGGCUGGAGGAUGAAGCUGAAGCCUGUUGCCUGUUGGUGUUGGCUUAGCCAGCUGUUCAAAGAUGUUAUGUCUGUGUGUCUCUCAAUGUCUAUAAACUGUAAUGUUGAAUUGAACUAGUCUUGAGCUGGCUGUACUCUUUUUCCCUUCCUAGGGUUUUCUCACAAGGGUGAGUUUUUACCUAGGAAGGUUUUUAAUGAGGCAACCAACACUUGAUCACAUAGAUCAAGUGUUAACAGCUCUAAUAAUUCCUUUAUUAUGAUUUUUGACUUUCUGUGU